GUCCAGAGAAGAAUUGAACGUUUAUGGCUAUUCCUGGCUGUCCUAUGUGGAACGAUUUUCCACUAGAUUUACCACUAACUCACAGCUCCACCUGCCCUAGAAUCGACAGCUUUAUUAUUUCGUGAUGGCGGCGAGUGCCAAACGAAAACAGGAGGAGAAACACUUGAAGAUGCUUCGGGAGAUGACCAGCCUGCCUCCCAAUAGGAAAUGCUUUGAUUGCGAUCAGCGCGGCCCGACCUACGCCAACAUGACAGUGGGCUCAUUUGUGUGCACCACCUGUUCCGGAAUACUACGAGGCCUCAACCCGCCACACAGAGUGAAGUCUAUCUCCAUGACAACUUUCACCCAACAGGAAAUCGAGUUCUUACAAAAACACAGCAAUGAGGUCUGCAAACACAUCUGGCUGGGGUUGUAUGAUGACAAGACCUCCGUGGUCCCAGAUUUCCGUGAACCUCAGAAAGUCAAAGAGUUUCUUCAGGAGAAAUAUGAAAAGAAAAGAUGGUAUGUUCCCCCAGAACAAGCCAAGGUGAUUGCCUCUGUGCAGGCCUCAAUAUCUGGUUCAUCUGCUAGCAGUACCAGUAGCACCCCAGAGGUUCUUCCCCAGCCCCUCAAAACCCUACAUCUUACCAAGACUCCAUCCAACCAGUCCCCGGUGACCAGUCGUGUUCAGGCCCAGCCUGCAGGCCAGGAGAAGAAGUUUGACCUCCUCUCUGACUUGGGUGGAGAUAUUUUUGCUGCCCCCCAAGCUCAAACUGCCAGCUCCUCAAACUUUGCUAAUUUUGCACAUUUUAACAGGCCCUCAGCACAAAAUAAUGCCACCACAGACUUUGCAAACUUUGAUUACUUUGGAAACGCCAGUGUACCAUCACAUUUUGGCACAUCACCCCCCUCAAAGCCUUCCCUUCAACAAGCCCACACAGGUGGAUGCAUAUCCGUCUCGCCACUACCCAGUAUGGCUCCUGCCCUGCCUCAGAGCAGUUCAUCAACAAAGGACCGUUACGCUGCCCUGGCUGAGCUUGAUAGUGCCCACAGUUCAACCACUACAAGUGGAAGCGUACAAGGUGUGUUUGGAGGUGUCCCAGGAGCUGCUGCACCUCAAUCUCAGCCAGGACUACCCAACAUGCAACAGGGUUUUGCAGCUGCCCCCUCCACAAACCCAUUUGUGGCUGCUGUGAUGGUUCAGGAGCCCAUGUCUACAAAUCCAUUCCAAACCAAUGGAAGAGCAGCAACCUCAGCCUCAUUUGGUACUGGCUCCAUGAGCAUGCCAGCUGGCUUUGGGAACACAACCAGUUACUGCCUGCCAACCAGUUUUAGUGGGACCUUCCAGCAGCAAUUCCCUGGCCAAGGUCCCUUUCCCCCACCUGCAGCCUACCACCAACAGCCCAAUGGGGGGUUUCCAGCCUACGGAGAGGCCAAACCUAUGGGCAACUAUGGGCAGGUGGUCACAGGACCUGGCAUCUCCAGCAACCCAUUCAUGAUAUCGAAUCGUGUUAGACGCUGCACUGCCAUCUCUUGAUCGUCUUGAGUUUUGUGUAAAUGACACUGAUAGUAGGGAGUUUUAGAGUGCAGUCUACACAAUAAUUAAUACUCUCACUUGACGAGCAAAAGAGAAGCAUCUGUGGGCGGAGGCCCAGCGGGACCGUACCCCACAGGAGGUUCCUCCACAAACCCCUUUCUUUAAAACGCUUUUUACGGC